AAAAGAUUAAGUUAUUAAGGGCGCACGGUGGAUGCCUUGGCACUAGAAGCCGAUGAAGGACGUUACUAACGACGAUAUGCUUUGGGGAGCUGUAAGUAAGCUUUGAUCCAGAGAUUUCCGAAUGGGGAAACCCAGCAUGAGUUAUGUCAUGUUAUCGAUAUGUGAAUACAUAGCAUAUCUGAAGGUAGACGCGGAGAACUGAAACAUCUUAGUACCCGCAGGAAGAGAAAGAAAAAUCGAUUCCCUGAGUAGCGGCGAGCGAAACGGGAAGAGCCCAAACCAACGAGCUUGCUUGUUGGGGUUGUAGGACACUCUAUACGGAGUUACAAAAGAAUAAACUAGACGAAUCAUCUGGAAAGAUGAAUCAAAGAAGGUAAUAAUCCUGUAGUCGAAAGUUUAUUCACUCUUGAGUGGAUCCUGAGUACGACGGAACACGAGAAAUUCCGUCGGAAUCCGGGAGGACCAUCUCCCAAGGCUAAAUACUCUCUAGUGACCGAUAGUGAACCAGUACCGUGAGGGAAAGGUGAAAAGUACCCCGGAAGGGGAGUGAAAUAGAACUUGAAACCGUGUGCUUACAAGUAGUCAGAGCCCGUUAAUGGGUGAUGGCGUGCCUUUUGUAGAAUGAACCGGCGAGUUACGAUUUGAUGCAAGGUUAAGCAGUGAAUGUGGAGCCGUAGCGAAAGCGAGUCUGAAUAGGGCGUUGAGUAUUUGGUCGUAGACCCGAAACCAGGUGAUCUACCCAUGACCAGGUUGAAGUUCAGGUAACACUGAAUGGAGGACCGAACCGACUUACGUUGAAAAGUGAGCGGAUGAGUUGUGGGUAGCGGAGAAAUUCCAAUCGAACCUGGAGAUAGCUGGUUCUCUCCGAAAUAGCUUUAGGGCUAGCCUCAAGUGAUGAUUAUUGGAGGUAGAGCACUGUUUGGACGAGGGGCCCUUAUCGGGUUACCGAAUUCAGACAAACUCCGAAUGCCAAUCAAUUUAACUUGGGAGUUAGAACGCGGGUGAUAAGGUCCGUGUUCGAAAGGGAAACAGCCCAGACCACCAGCUAAGGUCCCAAAAUAUAUGUUAAGUGGAAAAGGAUGUGGCGUUGCCCAGACAACUAGGAUGUUGGCUUAGAAGCAGCCAUCAUUUAAAGAGUGCGUAAUAGCUCACUAGUCGAGUGACACUGCGCCGAAAAUGUACCGGGGCUAAACAUAUUACCGAAGCUGUGGAUUGUCCGUAAGGACAAUGGUAGGAGAGCGUUCUAAGGGCGUUGAAGCAUGAUCGCAAGGACAUGUGGAGCGCUUAGAAGUGAGAAUGCCGGUGUGAGUAGCGAAAGACGGGUGAGAAUCCCGUCCACCGAUUGACUAAGGUUUCCAGAGGAAGGCUCGUCCGCUCUGGGUUAGUCGGGUCCUAAGCUGAGGCCGAUAGGCGUAGGCGAUGGAUAACAGGUUGAUAUUCCUGUACCACCAUAAUUCGUUUUAAGCGAUGGGGGGACGCAGUAGGAUAGGCGAAGCGUACUAUUGGAUUGUACGUCCAAGCAGUAAGACUGAGUGUUAGGCAAAUCCGGCACUCUUAAGGUCAAGCUGUGAUGGGGAGAGGAAAUUGUUUCCUCGAGUCGUUGAUUUCACACUGCCAAGAAAAGCCUCUAGCUAGAAUUGUGGUGCCCGUACCGCAAACCGACACAGGUAGUCAAGAUGAGAAUUCUAAGGUGAGCGAGCGAACUCUCGUUAAGGAACUCGGCAAAAUGACCCCGUAACUUCGGGAGAAGGGGUGCUCUUUAGGGUUAACGCCCAGGAGAGCCGCAGUGAAUAGGCCCAAGCGACUGUUUAUCAAAAACACAGGUCUCUGCUAAACCGUAAGGUGAUGUAUAGGGGCUGACGCCUGCCCGGUGCUGGAAGGUUAAGAGGAGUGGUUAGCUUCUGCGAAGCUACGAAUCGAAGCCCCAGUAAACGGCGGCCGUAACUAUAACGGUCCUAAGGUAGCGAAAUUCCUUGU
rnacentral:rRNA from 1 species